GGGAGGGACAGAGGAGCUAGGGAGGGACGAAGGGAGCUAGGGACGGAGGGAGGGAGGGAGGGACUCCGCCACCACCAGGAGCGGCCGCUACCACGACCAAACAGAGCUGCAGCGAGUCAGUCAGUACACGCGGUGCUAGAGAGAGGCAAGGUCUGCCUCCCAUCCACCGCGACCACCACAACACAAGAUCGUGGUGGUGAAAAGAAAAAAAAAAACAGUAUGACAAAAUUGUAAAGACGAACGAACAGUUAUUUUGGGAAAGAUAAUUAGCAGAAGGAAAAA
rnacentral:lncRNA from 1 species